GCCUUGGCGUCUCAGAGAGUUUGAUUAUGGCUCAGGAUGAACGCUGGCGGCGUGCUUAACACAUGCAAGUCGAACGGAGUUUUUAAACGGAAGUUUUCGGAUGGAAGUUUAGAAACUUAGUGGCGGACGGGUGAGUAACGCGUGGGUAACCUGCCUCAUACAGGGGGAUAACAGUUAGAAAUGACUGCUAACACCGCAUAAUAUAGCGAAACCGCAUGAUUUUGCUAUCAAAUAUUUAUAGGUAUGAGAUGGGCCCGCGUCUGAUUAGCUAGUUGGUGGGGUAAAAGCCUACCAAGGCGACGAUCAGUAGCCGGCUUGAGAGAGUGACCGGCCACAUUGGGACUGAGACACGGCCCAAACUCCUACGGGAGGCAGCAGUGGGGAAUAUUGGACAAUGGGGGAAACCCUGAUCCAGCGAACCGCCGCGUGAGUGAAGAAGUAUUUCGGUAUGUAAAGCUCUAUCAGCAGGGAAGAUAAUGACAGUACCUGACUAAGAAGCCCCGGCUAACUACGUGCCAGCCGCAGC
rnacentral:rRNA from 1 species